CACGAAGUUAGCCGGGGCUUCUUCUGUAGGUACCGUCAUUAUCUUCCCUACUGAAAGAGCUUUACAACCCUACGGCCUUCAUCACUCACGCGGCAUGGCUGGAUCAGGCUUUCGCCCAUUGUCCAAUAUUCCCCACUGCUGCCUCCCGUAGGAGUCUGGGCCGUGUCUCAGUCCCAGUGUGGCUGAUCAUCCUCUCAGACCAGCUAUGGAUCGUCGCCUUGGUGAGCCAUUACCUCACCAACUAACUAAUCCAACGCGGGCUCAUCCAGAACCGAUAAAUCUUUCCCCCGUAGGGCGUAUCCGGUAUUAGCUGAAGUUUCCCUCAGUUGUUCCGAAGUUCUGGGUAGAUUCCCACGCGUUACUCACCCGUCUGCCACUCCCCUUGCGGGGCGUUCGACUUGCAUGUGUUAAGCCUGCCGCCAGCGUUCGUUCUGAGCCAGGAUCAAACUC
rnacentral:rRNA from 1 species